rnacentral:pre_miRNA from 1 species
AGCUUUUCGUAUUCGUGCUGAGAUUUCGUCGCCAAUCAGUCCGUUGGUGCUGAUACAACUUCCCAAAUAGGUGAAGUU